rnacentral:misc_RNA from 1 species
GACAGAGGGUGCAAGCGUUGUUCGGAAUCAUUGGGCGUAAAGCGCGCGUAGGCGGCUAGUUAAGCCGGAUGUGAAAGCCCGGGGCUCAACCUCGGAAGUGCAUCCGGAACUGAUUAGCUUGAGUCCUGGAGAGGGUGGUGGAAUUCCCGGUGUAGAGGUGAAAUUCGUAGAUAUCGGGAGGAACACCAGUGGCGAAGGCGACCACCUGGACAGUGACUGACGCUGAGGUGCGAAAGCGUGGGUAGCAAACAGG